CAGAUCAAGCAAGCUGAAGACAAACCAAGAUGAAAAUCCAUAAGUGUGCAGCCAGGUUAUUUGCAUGGACUGGAUCACUGCCUGGGAACAUGAAGAAGAUUUUUGGAGAAAAAUCAGGUGAGCUCACAAGUUUCACAAGCUCAUUUUCAGAUGGAACAGUGUAGGCAAUCUGGAGGAGAGAAUGUUACUGCUGGUUGUGAGGUAUCAAGCACAAGUCCCUGGACAGCAGUCUGGUAGAUGAAAAAAGAAUUUAAAGGAACUCUGACUGAACAUCUGAUAUUCCAGUAACAAGAGAAUUAGCUGUUCUCAAUAGAUUGUUCAUCUCUGUGGAAUGCUGAGCACUCAUGGGAUAUAAUCUGAG